UCUGUUGUUAUCACUGUUUAUUGUAGAUCUUAUUCUAAUAUUAAUGCGUGCUUCUACUGCAAUGAAGAAGGAUGUUGAAUAUUCGGGGUUACAGGUUUUGAAACGGUAGCUUGAGACUAAUAUUAUGGUUCAAAUUAAUUGAAAGAAAUUAUCUUGCUCUGUAUCUCCACUAGAUAGUUAUUUACCAACAGGAGUUAGUCCUCCUCCCCUGAAAAACUCGUCCCGACAUAUCAACCUCUGAUUCAAGUUCAGAGGUUUGUUAGAAAUCAUGGUUUGAAGAAUUUUAUUCAUCAUUGGACUCCCACGACCUACUCAACUGUAUGAAGUAUCGAACACAUUUUUCCUUCACCCCAAAUAACUCAGAUGGGCCAAUAAAUAGUUUUUCAAUAAGAUCAUGGGAAGUUUUUUUCUUGAACUCACCCUUGGUCACUAUCUCUCAGAAAUCACUGUUAUUCCUUAAUCUAGUAAAUCAAGAGAAUUUGAACCCUUUCCACAAAGCCUCAAUGUUUGGUGAUCCGAGGCCCUAUUCUUCGACUUACGUAUUUAUGCGUCCUCUAGAAUAAGGCUCUUGAUCUGCCCACCAUUAAUUAUUCCCUUAAUUUGUAAUUAUAGUCAUAUAUCUCACUAGAGAAAGGAAUAUAUCUCAAGACGUGGAUGAUUUAGUUAUUAUGAUUUCGUCCCAGACCUUGAUCUCUUCAAAUCUGGUUAAUGGCUCCCAAAGCUGACGUGGAUACUUUGAACCCAAUUAGUGUUGCUGAUGAGAAGAAUUUGAAUUUAUCAAUUAUUGCCCUUGGAUAUUCCUCACAAUGGUACCAAUCAUCGUGUUUCCUUAUCAACUAAUAGUUCAUAAUGUAUUUUAAAUUUUCCCCAUUUAUCGAUGAUUGCACUAAGGGGUUCUGUCACUUUAUUUCUGGAGCCUGAACCAAAAACUGUGACAUCAAAUGCUUAUAAUAGUUGGUAUAUUCCCGAAUAAUAUAGUUUUUAUCCUUGAAUCCAUGUUCAUCGCGUUUAUGAAAAGCGUAGGAGAAAGAAUGUUUCUUUAUAGAGCCCUUAUAAGGAUAGAUAAUUUAUCAGAGGAUCGCGAACUACCAAAUAUUGUUCUGGAGUUUCGAAGUAUGGGUGAGAUCUUUGUAAUGAAUCCCCCCGGAAAGUAAAAAGACUGUAAAUUGUUUGUUGAUGUAUUUAUGUGAAACCAAGUCAAAUCCAUUCUCAAAAUCCACGAGCACUACCGUAUACUUACUGCUUGUUGGAGAGUGAAUAACAUUCUGAACUGAGCGUUGAAUAUUUUCUAUUAUUCAAUGUUUCAUAAAACUUUUUUGAGCCGGAGAGAUUAUUUGUGAGAUAUAAUUUUUGACGAUUAAGACCACCAGUAAGUAUUUUGUAUGAUGUAUCAAAAAAAGAGAUUCGCCAGUAAUUUUUUAAAUCAUUUUUGUCUCUCUUUUUUUUUUUUUUUUUUUUUUCAGAAUCAAAGUCAAAGAGCCACAACACCUAAAGUCUCAGAUAAGUCUUUCUUUAAUAUUUCCUCGAAAAUUGAAAAUUAUCACGAGUAUUGGUGAAUGAAGGGAAUAAAUUUUUUAUUGAACUCGGAAGGUGUGCUAGAAGGGCCAGGCUUUCAUAAGUAUGCAGAAAACUGAAAACUUCAUUGUUAGUAAUCAGUAAAUCCAACUCCACCAUAGUGUUUGUACGAGCAAAAUCGCUGAUUUUUCUGCCUCUCUUGUACGGUUAAUAUUGCGGAAUUGAGCAAUUUCAAUUUGGUGGAUCUUUAAUCAGUAUCUAUCAGUAGCAAAUGUAAAAGAGGUUUUCAGAUUCACAGUCUGGACAGCAGUACAUGUUUGUGUAAAAAAUAAUAAUUUCUUUUGUAAUUUCAGAGGCGAUAGUCUUAAGUGCAGAUAUUCUCUUUGAUUGGACAGCUUCUUUAUAAGUUUAAAUGAUGAUUUCCUUUUUAAAGUUUAAACUUAUCCAUUCUUUCAUGUAGCGUAUCAGUGCCCCCUUUCUUUCGUAGAGCAAAAGCUCUUCCAGUUUUAAGGCCGAGGUAGAAUCGUCUUUGUUCAAAAUUUGUAUCUCAUUUAGCGUUUUUCUCAUCUCUCUAUCUUUUUCUCUGCCUUUUUGAACGAAGAUCCCCUCACUUGAGACUUAAUGAGUGUCAGGGUAUCCCACGGAUACAAAAGUCCCCUUUCCAUUCUGACACCCUUGUCACGAAUGACCUUGAAUAUAUUUUCUCGUUUAAUUGCUAAAUCUAGUAAGGGAACAUUCAGAUUCCAGGAAGAUUUUGAAGUUGAAGGGGACGCUUAAAUGGUGCUAAAACUGGGCAGUGAUCUAAGAUGUACGUUGGAAGUACGCUGAAUAGGAGGUUAACUAAAAUGAAGCGAAUAUAUAAUCAAGUUUGUCCCUUAUUACUUAGCCAGUCCUCGUUUUUCCAUUAAAAUUCAUUUUUGGGGGGAGCUCAUCGUAUGUGGGACCUAAAUCUUCUAAAUUAUAAUCUGUUAUUAUUUGUUCCAGAUCUGAAGCACUAUUUCUAUAGUAUGGACCAUUAUAAACUUAAGCGUCACGAUUUUGGUUUUUGGGUUAUAUUAAAGUCCCCGUGAAUAAUAAUUCCGUACCGUCCAAAGGGCCAACUCUUCUGAUUAGUUUUGAGAACCAAUAGUUAUAAUCAAGGUUUGGGCCGUAAACUGCAAACAAGGUUAUUCGGUUUCCCAGGGAAACAAAAUCGACGACAACGUAAUUAUCUCCCGGAUCAGUGGCACUUUCCAUUGGGCUUAGGUUUUCAUGCAGCAGCAUGAAGUCUUGAAGGCAGUCUUGAAGGCUUAGUUGAUUUUCUAUUAGCCUUUGAAUAGAAAAGUAAAUGUGUUCUAGGGAGAAAAUGAAUGAUCUUGUUUAUAUCCUGUACUCUUGAAUUGACCAAUGUUAUAAUGUCAGAUAAAAAAAAUGCACUAAUGUAAUUAAAUACCCUGGAGGCCCUGCUAGAUGAGUAAGUUGAGUUUAAAUGGAAAGAUACAAGAGUCGCCAUAAUUAUAGAUCAGGUUUAAAAUUUGCAAAAAGAGAGAAAAAUAACUCUUGUGGGCUUCUGAGUAUACCCAAAGAAUAUCUGCGACACCAACCAUCGAAAAACCAACCAGAUAAGUUGCUAUUAUUAUAUUUUUGUAGGUCUCCUUCUUUUCCUUUUAGGGUGGCUUUCCACCUGUGGAGACAUUAAUCCCUCAGUCACAGUACAAGGUUUAAUUUGAGAAUUUAGGGCACCAUGGGGCAUCAGUUUCUUUAUAUGGCGAUAAUAUUUCUUCUUCAUGCGGCGUUCUACCAAUAAGUCAAUUAGAUUACUUACAUAUAGUCAAUAAAUACUAAUCAAAUAUAUUGGAUAUGAUUUUUUCAUUUCCAUUACACGUAAACAUAGAAACUCAAGUAAGUAAAUAUACUAAUGAAAAAAAAAAAAUUUGCAUUGAGAUAAAACAUAAGCAAGCAUUAUAGCCUAGAGUUAAUUUCCUUUUUUAGACCUCUAUGAUAAACCGCUCAUCAACAAUAUGAAUUGAUAAAUAAAAUAAAACACUCAUUGAUCACAACAAAAAUCCAGCUGAUAAAAUAUUAUCAGGCUAAAAGUUAGUAUAUAGUUGAGACAACAACUAAAAUUGAAAACAUGCAGUACAUAUAAUUAUAAUUAUAUAGAAAACAAAACAAAAAGGGAACACUAAACAAAAGUAUCGUAAAACAAUGGGGAUACAGGGCAUUCCUGCCUAAAUCUCUUGCUAAGAGUUAUAAAAUUGUUCAUAUAUCCAUGAAUCUCUAUUAUAUGAUUCGUUAUUUAACAGUAGAAAAAAUGUAAGGGGGGAAAAUGUUUGGGACAAAAUUACCUAGAAUCAAUAUUAAUUAUUAAUAUAGGUGAAUAACCAAACUUGGGAUGGUGUCGGUGAUCUUCAAAGACGUCGUGGGCAUCGUUUUCUUUCCGAUAAAAUACUUUUUCAAGUUGAAUUGAAUAAAAUAAGUGACUAUAUCACCAACAAUCGUAUCAGGGUUCAAAAACCGUCAAGUUGAACACCCUGCUACAAUUAUAUAUACAGACGGAUCCAAAGAUGAGAAAGGCAACACGGGUGCAGGAUGGCUAUCACUGGACGGGAUAUGCAAAUUCAUCAAUCAUCGGCAUCUUUAAAUAAGAAAGUAUUGGUCUUCCAAGUAGAAACCUUCGCCAUCACACAAUCAGUGGUAGCUCUUUUGACCAAGACAAGCCAUCAAAAACGUAAUAAUUUAAUUGGAUUCUCAAUAGGUAAUUGCUGCUAUUCUAAAUCCAUUACAAAAAUUGAUACAUUAAAAAGCGCAAAUAAAUAUUCAACAUUGGAAAAUGUGAGAUAAACAUAUAUCUCGAUUGGUACGAAGGGGAUUUAGAUAUUUCAGGAAACAAAUUUGAAGACUAUCUUGCAAAGAGUGGUACUAAAAGUCAAAAUUGUUUGUGCGUUAGAGAGCCUCCUAGCUACAUACAGAAGGUGGGGGUGACUUCUUCUUCGAAGUUUGGUGCAACAUAUACAGGAAAGAUCAAAUAAUGAAACAUAUAGAUUACAUGUUGAAGAAAUCAAAACAAAAGAGUAUCAAACUUUUGCGUCAAAACAUGAACUUACUUCUUAAGCCUUCUUAAGAUACCAAGCCAUUCAUGAAGAGGAUGAAGAUUUUCGUAUUCUUACAUUUAUGAAAUGUAAAAAAACAACAACAAGUUAUUGAUAAUAAAUAUAUAAUUAAGUAGAAAUUAAGUUCGAUUUCUGCUGUAGUAGCACAUAUACCCCUUUGUAGGGUAGUCUUUUUUGCCGUUUGUAUGUAUAGUUUUAUAAUGUAAUUUUGUUUUCCCAUAUAAUGGACCUAUUGCAUAUAUAUUAAAAAAAAAAAUUAAAUUUGUUUAUUUCAAAAGACACUUCUGAUUGUACAUACAAGUCCCAUAUUAGUUAUUUUUCCAUUGAAGAAUGUGUAAUUUGUUUAAAA
rnacentral:lncRNA from 1 species